rnacentral:rRNA from 1 species
GAAACAUCUUAGUACCCGGAGGAAGAGAAAGAAAAUUCGAUUCCCUUAGUAGCGGCGAGCGAAACGGGAAGAGCCCAAACCAACAAGCUUGCUUGUUGGGGUUGUAGGACACUCUAUACGGAGUUACAAAGGACGACAUUAGACGAAUCAUCUGGAAAGAUGAAUCAAAGAAGGUAAUAAUCCUGUAGUCGAAAAUGUUGUCUCUCUUGAGUGGAUCCUGAGUACGACGGAGCACGUGAAAUUCCGUCGGAAUCUGGGAGGACCAUCUCCUAAGGCUAAAUACUCUCUAGUGACCGAUAGUGAACCAGUACCGUGAGGGAAAGGUGAAAAGCACCCCGGAAGGGGAGUGAAAUAGAACCUGAAACCGUGUGCUUACAAGUAGUCAGAGCCCGUUAAUGGGUGAUGGCGUGCCUUUUGUAGAAUGAACCGGCGAGUUACGAUUUGAUGCAAGGUUAAGCAGUAAAUGUGGAGCCGUAGCGAAAGCGAGUCUGAAUAGGGCGUUUAGUA